GAAAAACUUCCUCCUAAAGUUUCUUGUGACACUAAAAUUCUGUUUUUCCUAACCUUGCUGAAAAGGGCCAUGAAGAUGCUCAGAGGGCUGGAACACUUCUCCUGUGAAGAAAGGCUGAAGGAGUUGGGCUUGUUCAGCCUGGGAAGAGAAAGCUGUGGAGAGACCUCAUUGCAGCCUUCCAGUUUUGAGGAGAGAUUAUAAACAGGAGGGAAACCAACUUUUCAUAUGGUUUAAUAGUGGUAGGACAAGGGGGAAUGGCUUUCAGCUAAAAAAGGGGAGAGUUAGGUUAGAUGUUGGGAAGAAAUUCUUUACUCAGAGGGUGGUGAGGCCACAGUACUGUUGCCUGGAGAAGUGUGGGUGAUCCAUCCCUGGAGGCAUUCAAGGCCAGGUUGGAUCACAGAAUCAUAGAAUCACUCAGGUUGGAAAAGACCUUAAAGACCGUGGAUGGGAUCCUGGACAGCUUGGUCUGGUGAGUGGCAACCUUGCCCACAGCAGGGAGGUUGGAACUGGGUGAUCUUUAAAGUCCCUUCCAACCUAAGCUGUACUAUGAUUCUAAGAUUCUAUGGUUACUGAGUGUGCAGGCAGUGCAAUUAGAGACCAGUAUGUAUCAGACUCUGUUAAAGACUUCUUGGACUUGGACUGGGAACCACACCUAGUUCAUCAGCUUAAUGUUCACUUCAAAUAGUUUUUUCAAUCUGCUGUAUCCUGAUAAAUGUGGGAAGAGGUCUGGAUCACUUUUACGGCAGCAGUGUGGACAUUUCUCAGAUGAGGACCCAACAUUUUCAAUGCUGAGAUAGAUGGAAAUCGAUUUAAACUCCAUUAAACUGCACAAUACAGAAAACUGACCCUCUCAGCAACUGGUUCAUCUUAUUAAACACAAAUGCUAUACAAAUGUAUUUUCCUGAAUUAUUCAUCUAGACAUCUCAUCUUAGAGGAAACCCCUUCUAAAGUGUGAUUUGUUAUUCCCUACAACAAUGUCUGGAGAAAGAAUCACCUCUCUUUUCCCUUCCACUACAAAGAUGCAACAUAUCUAGUGUACUGAAGAAGCUUAAUAAUAAAGAUUAC
ensembl:lncRNA